GCUCGGCGGCUGAGCAAGGGGGGUGGGCGGAAUGUAGGGGGAAGGGAAGGUGACUGUGCCUGGAGGGCCGAGCCGCCCGGCCUCGCCAGCCCGCCGCCGCCUCAGCGUUUGGCCGGGGGCGGGGCCGCAGAUGCUUCCCUCUCCAGACCCUAGGCCAGAAGAAACAAUGUACUAUUGUUGAUGUCAAUGAAAUACUUAACAAAUCCGAGCUGGUAAUAACUCUAAGACUUUGAGAAGAAGGAUGCCCAGUAGAGAUAAUUGAUUUUACAUUACAAGGAAUUUAGUCCUAAGGGUUAUGCUAAACAUGAGAAUAACCUACAAGUCAUUUGUCAUGAAUAAAUGCAAAGAUCUCUGGAUAUCUUGUGGUAUAAGAUCUUGAGUAGUGAUAUAUUACUGCUGAUGGGUUUCUAUCUGCUGCUGUGAGCGUAUUUUCAGGCUCAGGUGCAGAACUAAGCUGAGGGGUAUGAGAUUUGUAGUAAAAAAUUAUUGGAAGUAGGCAAGUGGUCAUAGACUAAGGGUUCACAAUAGGAUGCAGUCACUUUAAGGACAAUUUUGAAGAAAAAAUGCUGAUGGUGAAAGAAAUGCAAAAACCACAAACACAUCAAAGAGGUUCAUAUUCCUGGGAACAAAAAGGAAGGUCGGAAAGGAUCUGCUUAUAGAAAACAUAUUAAUCUUGGGACGCUGUCCUUUUGCGUCUUGCCCCCCAUCAUUUCAGGUCACUUAGCUUAGACUGCUUUUCAGCUGAAAAAAGCAAAUGAUACCCUUGCAAGGACUCUGCACAACAUUAUAGGAAUUCAGCUGUUUUAUUUUUACAACUAUUAAAGCAUGGUUUAACGGUUACAUGAAUAGAAGUUCCUUAUAAAUGGCAGUAACUUCUCUCCAGAGAUGCAGUGCUCAAGAUUCUGUUCAUUGACAUACAAAAUGCUCUUCAUGAUCAAUUGUUUUACUUAUUAGAAUUUAACUCUUUCUCAGACGAUUUAAUACAAACCGUGGCAAACAGCUGAUUAUUCGACAAAAUCCAUUUCCUCUUCUUCCCAGACACAAAGCUUGACUAUGCUUUCCAGCUGCCCUUGUCAUUAAAUUGGGCCAUAUGACUGAGUUCUAGCCAGGGGAGUGUGAGUAGAAGUAAUGUUUGCCACUUGGAGGGCUGAAAUCUUGAAUGCAUGCUGACUGAGAUGGAAGUGACAGAGUGACCUUAGAUGCCAUGUGUUGUUCACGAAGGUGGAACCCCCAUCUGCCUGGGCCUCUAUGGAGAGCUGUUCUACCAACCUAUUCACUUGCUUAUCAGGAGACAGAGUGUGACCAAGAUAGAAACUUUUAGAUACUGUACCGUUACAUGUUUGUUUAUUUGUUACUGCAGCCUAGGCUAACCAAUACACUAAUAAAACUUUUUUCAGUCUUA